rnacentral:rRNA from 1 species
UCCUGACUGACCGAUAGUGAACCAGUACCGUGAGGGAAAGGCGAAAAGAACCCCGGCGAGGGGAGUGAAAAAGAACCUGAAACCGUGUACGUACAAGCAGUGGGAGCCUCUUAAUGGGGUGACUGCGUACCUUUUGUAUAAUGGGUCAGCGACUUAUAUUCUGUAGCAAGGUUAACCGAAUAGGGGAGCCGAAGGGAAACCGAGUCUUAACUGGGCGUUAAGUUGCAGGGUAUAGACCCGAAACCCGGUGAUCUAGCCAUGGGCAGGUUGAAGGUUGGGUAACACUAACUGGAGGACCGAACCGACUAAUGUUGAAAAAUUAGCGGAUGACUUGUGGCUGGGGGUGAAAGGCCAAUCAAACCGGGAGAUAGCUGGUUCUCCCCGAAAGCUAUUUAGGUAGCGCCUCGUGAAUUCAUCUCCGGGGGUAGAGCACUGUUUCGGCAAGGGGGUCAUCCCGACUUACCAACCCGAUGCAAACUGCGAAUACCGGAGAAUGUUAUCACGGGAGACACACGGCGGGUGCUAACGUCCGUCGUGAAGAGGGAAACAACCCAGACCGCCAGCUAAGGUCCCAAAGUCAUGGUUAAGUGGGAAACGAUGUGGGAAGGCCCAGACAGCCAGGAUGUUGGCUUAGAAGCAGCCAUCAUUUAAAGAAAGCGUAAUAGCUCACUGGUCGAGUCGGCCUGCGCGGAAGAUGUAACGGGGCUAAACCAUGCACCGAAGCUGCGGCAGCGACACUAUGUGUUGUUGGGUAGGGGAGCGUUCUGUAAGCCUGUGAAGGUGGCCUGUGAGGGUUGCUGGAGGUAUCAGAAGUGCGAAUGCUGACAUAAGUAACGAUAAAGCGGGUGAAAAGCCCGCUCGCCGGAAGACCAAGGGUUCCUGUCCAACGUUAAUCGGGGCAGGGUGAGUCGACCCCUAAGGCGAGGCCGAAAGGCGUAGUCGAUGGGAAACAGGUUAAUAUUCCUGUACUUGGUGUUACUGCGAAGGGGGGACGGAGAAGGCUAUGUUGGCCGGGCGACGGUUGUCCCGGUUUAAGCGUGUAGGCUGGUUUUCCAGGCAAAUCCGGAAAACCAAGGCUGAGGCGUGAUGA